UGGAGAUGAGGAUACACAGCACUGGGCACUGAGAAUGAACUUUAUUCUUUCGAAUGAGUGACAAUGCUUUAAGCGGGCCUAGAAAACCCGCGCUACUGAUCCA
rnacentral:snoRNA from 20 species